AAUUACAUGGUGAAAAAGAACCAAUUCUGAAGUUAGUAAUGAACAAAAACUAAAAUAAUCGUAUUGGCUAGGCAUCAAAGAGAAUGGAGAAUAAAUGGCAGUGAUUAUUAAAAAAAAUGAACCAUGAAAAGGCAACCAGUGAAUGGCCAUUAUUAUGGAACUACAACCAUACUUUUGGAUAUGUUAGAUGCUAAUAGAAAAAAACAGAAAAUAGAAGUAUUAAUUGAAUACUACAUAAUUCGUAACCAAUCAAAAAAGAAUUGUAUAGUUUGCAAUUAACUACACAUUAAGAUGAAUUUUUUUAUGGAUAUAAUGGUAUAAAUGAAUGUAAACCAUGUAAAGGAUUCAACGUGUCAGUCAAUCAAAAUCCUACUAAUAAUAAUAAGAUGAAAUUAUAACAGGUUCGAAUUGGGUUGGCAGAAGCCAAUAUCUAAACGGUAUUCAAGGGUGUGAAUGACACAAACACAAUAUACACGCCCACCCAUCAAGGGGGCGUCUGUAAUGGUGAGAGACCCCCCCCCCCAACAUGAUUUCACCUGAACAGCUGGAUGCUCGGGACCCUUACUUGAUCCAACGACAAAAAUCUUGAACUGACAAGUGUGAGAAGGCAGGUUCGAGCCUUUUUUUAUUAAAAAGGCAGGUCCAAGUCUGAGAAUGGAUGCUUUU